GGUUGCCACUAUAUACUGCUAUGUAUCACUGGUGGAUUGUGAGAGCUCACUAGGAUUAUUCUGGAUCGACAAUUCUUGAUGAGUUAGAGUGAAAUUGUUCCGAUCCAUUGAAAAAAGUUUCAAUGAUACUUUGAUAGAGAUUAUUGUAUAUCUCAUUACCAGAUAAAAUUAAACCUAUAGGGUCACACAACAAAGAGAU
rnacentral:lncRNA from 1 species